rnacentral:rRNA from 1 species
UACGUAGGGACCAAGCGUUGUUCGGGUUUACUGGGCGUAAAGGGCGCGUAGGCGGCGCUGUAAGUCACCUGUGAAAUCUCCGGGCUUAACUCGGAACGGUCAAGUGAUACUGCAGUGCUAGAGUGCAGAAAGGGCAAUCGGAAUUCUUGGUGUAGCGGUGAAAUGCGUAGAUAUCAAGAGGAACACCUGAGGCGAAGGCGGGUUGCUAGGCUGACACUGACGCUGACAGCGCGAAAGCCAGGGGAGCAAACGGG